GGGAUCCUGGAUACGAAGCUGCUCCCUCACUGCAGCCUGACUGAGAGCCUGGCCUUGCCCACAAACUCUGCUCCAGCACUGGUGCUGAUGCUGCUGCAACACUUUCAUGCACUGCAGUGUUUGUUACUGACAGGGUUUAAUUGGUUAUUGUAGAGAAAGCACACGGUCUUUGUUGUGCACAUUUGUCUGCGUUUCUCUGCUGCCUGUCCAGCUGUCUUUUACUUUGUCUGCUUGUUUUCCUGAGAGAUUUCUUCCAUUAAGGGUACUUAAUUGUCCCUGGUGGGGCUGUUAGUGCCCAGCCCUCCUGAGAUACAAACUCUGAGAUAUACGGUCUUAAUAACUGGCUUGUGGUCACUUCUAAGAAAUUAAUUGAUACAAUGUUCAUAGUCCUGUGAAGACACCAAUCUUAAAAACAAGUGUAACCCGUGAGUGAUGUGGUUUACGUCACUCACUGGUCAAGUUGUUGUAACCUUAAAAUCUUAUUUACUUCCGGGGUGCCCGUGUUUACAUUUUGGCCUAGCAAGACCUAAGCUUCCUGCUACACACACCUGACGACACUUACACUGAUUAGAGUAAUUGCAGCCACACAGAAUAAAACCAGGAAGCAGCCAUAACAGGGCUGCGUGUUCUGCCUUUCCACUUUACUCCGAGCUGUGGGGAUUUAAUGGAGAUCCCGGAAAGUUGCGGGUAUCCUCUGUGGUGUCCAGCUUCUGCGUGAGCGUUCACGGACAUUGAUAACAACUUGCUGUUAUUCCGAGAGGGGCUACAUAUGUGCGUGUGCUGUGCGGAUGUUAAAUGUAGGUACUGUACGGAAAUGCAAGUAUGGCGAACUGGUUCUUCAGUGGCACGCACUAUACAUGAUUAACAUUUUGAUUCUGAUGUAUUGUGGCUGUGCUGUACUAAUCUGUUUGGCAGUGUGUUUCAGGAGUUGCCAUUGCUGUUUUGCCUGUUUCUGUUUGUUUAGUUCUAUUUUUAUUUUGUUUCUUUGUCAGUUAUGGCGUCUUUACCUGUGACACUGUAGGCAAUGACUGGGCAAUGAUUAGGCCUGCUGUUUCUCUGCAUAGGAUUCCCUCAGCACUUAGCUUGGGUACUGGCGGUCCAAAUUCUUGGUUGCAUUAGGCUAGAGUGUCAUCUCUCUUUUCCAUCUUUUUUUGUGUUAACAGAGCCUGUGAACGUGGUACUGGUGUUGGGAUGCUGGGUUGUUCCUUUUCCUGCAUUGCAUGAGGUGAACUACUGUAGGUGUAGAGCUAAUGAGCACCCCUAUUCUAUUUGGUAGUUUGUGUGUGUGUGUGUGUGUGUGUGUGUGUGUGUGUGUGUGUUACACAUUUUCAGAUAUUGGAGCACGUGGCGUGGUUGCUGUGUUGAACUUCCCCUACUCUCCCUGCAUCCAGGUAACCACUCUGCCAGUACCUCCGCCUGUACUAUUGCUUGCUGCUUAUUGUUGUGAGGCCUUGUUUUUAUCUUUUCAUACUGUAAUAAAGUGAUUGCUAUUGAUGAAUUUAUCUUGCUGAAGUGUUUUAAUAUAAUCCUGGUUUUCUAAAUAAACAUUGCCCAGUCACUGGAAUAUCA